UACGGGGGGGGCAAGCGUUGUUCGGAAUUACUGGGCGUAAAGGGCGCGUAGGCGGUUUGUUAAGUUGGAUGUGAAAACUGUGGGCUCAACCUGCAGCCUGCAUCCAAUACCGACAGGCUAGAGUUCUGGAGGGGAUAGCGGAAUUCCUGGUGUAGCGGUGAAAUGCGUAGAUAUCAGGAGGAACACCGGUGGCGAAGGCGGCUAUCUGGACAGAGUCUGACGCUGAGGCGCGAAAGCUAGGGGAGCAAACAGG
rnacentral:rRNA from 1 species